rnacentral:rRNA from 1 species
GAUGAACGCUGGCGGCGUGCCUAAUACGUGCAAGUCGAGCGAACAGAUAAGGAGCUUGCUCCUUUGACGUUAGCGGCGGACGGGUGAGUAACACGUGGAUAACCUACCUAUAAGACUGGGAUAACUUCGGGAAACCGGAGCUAAUACCGGAUAACAUAUUGAACCGCAUGGUUCAAUAGUGAAAGGCGGCUUUGCUGUCACUUAUAGAUGGAUCCGCGCCGUAUUAGCUAGUUGGUAAGGUAACGGCUUACCAAGGCAACGAUACGUAGCCGACCUGAGAGGGUGAUCGGCCACACUGGAACUGAGACACGGUCCAGACUCCUACGGGAGGCAGCAGUAGGGAAUCUUCCGCAAUGGGCGAAAGCCUGACGGAGCAACGCCGCGUGAGUGAUGAAGGUCUUCGGAUCGUAAAACUCUGUUAUCAGGGAAGAACAAAUGUGUAAGUAACUGUGCACAGCUUGACGGUACCUGAUCAGAAAGCCACGGCUAACUACGUG